GAGCGGUAGAUUGCUUUCGGGCAAUUGAGAGCGGCGCACGGGUGCGGAACACGUGUGCAACCUGCCUUUAUCUGGGGGAUAGCCUUUCGAAAGGAAGAUUAAUAUCCCAUAAUAUAUUGAUUGGCAUCAAUUAAUAUUGAAAGCUCCGGCGGAUAGAGAUGGGCACGCGCAAGAUUAGAUAGUUGGUGAGGUAACGGCUCACCAAGUCAAUGAUCUUUACGGGGCCUGAGAGGGUGAUCCCCCACACUGGUACUGAGACACGGACCAGACUCCUACGGGAGGCAGCAGUGAGGAAUAUUGGACAAUGGGUGAGGGCCUGAUCCAGCCAUCCCGCGUGAAGGACGACGGCCCUAUGGGUUGUAAACUUCUUUUGUACAGGGAUAAACCUACCCUCGUGAGGGUAGCUGAAGGUACUGUACGAAUAAGCACCGGCUAACUCCUUG
rnacentral:rRNA from 1 species